AAUUGGCGUAAGGCAAAGAGGCGCGGCUGGAAGAACCAGACUGAGAAAGUGCCACAGGGCGGGGGCCGCAUCCGCCCCUCGGCUUCUGGUUACUGACCCGACGGCUUUGUGAGUGAAAGUGAAGAGACACUUCGAGGAGGUCCUGGAACCAAUCCCCUCUGAUACUGAGAGACAACUAUUACACAAGAGAAAUAUUCUACCAUUCACAAAAUCUCGUUUAAGUGUUGUGAAAUACAAACACCAGGGAAUCAAGAACUUUAGAAAAUUGUGGCUGUGUUCCCAUAUGUGGUACAAAGAACCAGUGAGUCCCAUUUGUUGUGGUUCCUGCAUUCGAUGACUCCAGAUGUGCCACCACCGAGCUAGUCUUAUGACAACCUAGAAGGCAAAUUGGGAUGGCCCUAUAUUUGUCACUGAGAGCAGAAGGGUUGAGAACUUAGAUCCUGACAGGAGGCCCACCUUUAUUGGAGAAAUGGCUCUGCAACUUAGCUCAUGUAAGACUGCUGGGAUUUGAAAUUUAUCCUAUUAUUUGAAGACUGAAAUCAAAAUAUGAAGGUGGAGCAUCAUGUGUGCCUUCUGUCUUGUUCUCUACUAGGGUGUAAACCAUUUAACUAAAAAUAGUCUCCAAUUUGACACCUUCCCAACAUUUCACUAGUAUACUCCAAAUCUCCAUGCAGGGUUACAGACCUAUUUCAGCUGGCUCCAUUUACUCUGAGGCAG
rnacentral:lncRNA from 10 species